rnacentral:rRNA from 1 species
UUUUUUAAUUGAAAACUUGUAUGAAUGGUUGAAUAAAAUAUAAGCUGUUUCAUAAAAAUAUUAUUAAAAUUUUAUUUUUUAGUUAAAAAGCUAAAAUAAAAUUAAAAGACGAGAAGACCCUAUAAAGUUUUAUAAUUUUUAAUAAUUUAUUUAUUUAAUUAUUUUAAAAUUUAUUUUUAAAAAUUAUUUUAUUGGGGUGAUAAUAAAAUUUAAAAAACUUUUAUUUUUUGAUACAUAAAUUAAUGAAUUAAUGAUCCUUUAUUAAAGAUUAAAAAUUUAAAUUACUUUAGGGAUAACAGCGUAAUUUUUUUUUUAAGUUCAAAUUUAUAAAAAAGUUUGC